rnacentral:rRNA from 1 species
AUUGAACGCUGGCGGCAGGCUUAACACAUGCAAGUCGAACGGUAGCAUAAAGAAGCUUGCUUCUUUGAUGACGAGUGGCGGACGGGUGAGUAAUGCUUGGGAAUCUAGCUUAUGGAGAGGGAUAACUACGGGAAACUGUAGCUAAUACCGCGCAAUAUCGAACGAUUAAAGUGUGGGACCUUCGGGCCACAUGCCAUAAGAUGAGCCCAAGUGAGAUUAGGUAGUUGGUGAGGUAAAGGCUCACCAAGCCGACGAUCUCUAGCUGGUCUGAGAGGAUGACCAGCCACACUGGGACUGAGACACGGCCCAGACUCCUACGGGAGGCAGCAGUGGGGAAUAUUGCGCAAUGGGGGCAACCCUGACGCAGCCGUGCCGCGUGAAUGAAGAAGGCCUUCGGGUUGUAAAGUUCUUUCGGUAGCGAGGAAGGCAUUUAGUUUAAUAGACUAGGUGAUUGACGUUAACUACAGAAGAAGCACCGGCUAACUCCGUGCCAGCAGCCGCAGUAA